rfam:Cavia porcellus supercont2_45 genomic scaffold, whole genome shotgun sequence.
AGUGAUUUAGCUCAGUGGCAUAAGCGCCUGCCUUGCAAGCAGGCAGCUGUGAGUUCAAUCCCCCAUACCAAUUA